GUUCGUCGUCUGGAAUAUCGUCCUCUUCGGCGCGGAAAUUGACCCGCAAACGCUGCUGAAAGAACGCGCGUACCGGGUGCUGCCAGAAACGCAGGAGGAACUGCAUUCGAAACUGGCAGGCUAGAGUCUUGUAGAGGGGGGUAGAAUUCCAGGUGUAGCGGUGAAAUGCGUAGAGAUCUGGAGGAAUACCGGUGGCGAAGGCGGCCCCCUGGACAAAGACUGACGCUCAGGUGCGAAAGCGUGGGGAGCAAACAGGAUUAGAUACCCUGGUAGUCCACGCUGUAAACGAUGUCGAUUUGGAGGUUGUGCCCUUGAGGCGUGGCUUCCGGAGCUAACGCGUUAAAUCGACCGCCUGGGGAGUACGGCCGCAAGGUUAAAACUCAAAUGAAUUGACGGGGGCCCGCACAAGCGGUGGAGCAUGUGGUUUAAUUCGAUGCAACGCGAAGAACCUUACCUGGUCUUGACAUCCACAGAACUUAGCAGAGAUGCUUUGGUGCCUUCGGGAACUGUGAGACAGGUGCUGCAUGGCUGUCGUCAGCUCGUGUUGUGAAAUGUUGGGUUAAGUCCCGCAACGAGCGCAACCCUUAUCCUUUGUUGCCAGCGGUUAGGCCGGGAACUCAAAGGAGACUGCCAGUGAUAAACUGGAGGAAGGUGGGGAUGACGUCAAGUCAUCAUGGCCCUUACGACCAGGGCUACACACGUGCUACAAUGGCAUAUACAAAGAGAAGCGACCUCGCGAGAGCAAGCGGACCUCAUAAAGUAUGUCGUAGUCCGGAUUGGAGUCUGCAACUCGACUCCAUGAAGUCGGAAUCGCUAGUAAUCGUAGAUCAGAAUGCUACGGUGAAUACGUUCCCGGGCCUUGUACACACCGCCCGUCACACCAUGGGAGUGGGUUGCAAAAGAAGUAGGUAGCUUAACCUUCGGGAGGGCGCUUACCACUUUGUGAUUCAUGACUGGGGUGAAGUCGUAACAAGGUAACCGUAGGGGAACCUGCGGUUG
rnacentral:rRNA from 1 species